ACUUUUUGAAAGAAAAUGCAUGUGAUCUCUCAAGGAAAAUACAUGAAGUGGGAAGAGGAGACUCUAAGUAACGGCAAUGGUGGAGCCCUGGAAAUCAAAAAGAAGUUGGUCAGGGAUCCCCAGAGGAAGUGACCGGAAGACUGUGUUGUCUCAGCACAAAAGCCAAGGCAGCAGAGUCAAUGCACUUCCAAAUCUAGGAUAUCUAGAGAGCUGAAGGGAAAACAGCAGAAACAUCAUCUUUCAAGAUACAGGAGUCAUGCUGGUGGCCCAGAUGUGCUGCCACGAGGUAAACAACUUUUUCUGCCUUGCCUUUCGACGAUGAUGUUUCUAUCUUAGAGCCAGCUGACCAUGGACUUAAACAUCUGACACCAUGAGCCAAAAAGACAGGUCAGUGCUAAUAUAAGAAUAAAUGAAGAACAAACAGAGACGCUAAAGAAGAAAAGUACAAAAGGUAACAACAGGUACCACUAGAUAGGGGAAGAAGUAGUGAGUUAUUCUUUCGAUAAAUGAGAUGGGGAAAGGAAAGUGUGUUGGUAUGGUGGCUUAGUGGGAUAGCAGGGUACAUUGGAGGCUUUCUCCAGGAAAAAGAGAACUUAUUGUAUAAAUGCUGAGAGAAGAAGCAAUAGAGAGGUAGAUUCAGCAGGCAAAAAGUGUGAAGAAUGACUAAAAGGAUGAUAUACAAUCAGAUUGAUAGACCAAGGAAUUGCUCUUAGAAAGUAGAGAU